rnacentral:rRNA from 1 species
CUACGGGAGGCAGCAGUGGGGAAUAUUGCACAAUGGAGGAAACUCUGAUGCAGCAACGCCGCGUGGAGGAUGACACUUUUCGGAGCGUAAACUCCUUUUAUAUAGGAAGAAGAUGACGGUACUAUAUGAAUAAGCGCCGGCUAACUCCGUGCCAGCAGCCGCGGUAAUACGGAGGGCGCAAGCGUUACUCGGAAUCACUGGGCGUAAAGAGCGUGUAGGCGGAUUAAAAAGUCAGAAGUGAAAUCCUAUAGCUUAACUAUAGAACUGCUUCUGAAACUCUUAAUCUAGAAUAUGGGAGAGGUAGAUGGAAUUUCUGGUGUAGGGGUAAAAUCCGUAGAGAUCAGAAGGAAUACCGAUUGCGAAGGCGAUCUACUAGAACAUUAUUGACGCUAAGGCGUGAAAGCGUGGGGAGCAAACAGGAUUAGAUACCCCGGUAGUC